UGGGGAAUAUUGCACAAUGGGCGCAAGCCUGAUGCAGCCAUGCCGCGUGUAUGAAGAAGGCCUUCGGGUUGUAAAGUACUUUCAGUCGGGAGGAAGGUGGUAAGGUUAAUAACCUUAUCAAUUGACGUUACCGACGGAAGAAGCACCGGCUAACUCCGUGCCAGCAGCCGCGGUAAUACGGAGGGUGCAAGCGUUAAUCGGAAUUACUGGGCGUAAAGCGCACGCAGGCGGUUGAUUGAGUCAGAUGUGAAAUCCCCGGGCUUAACCCGGGAAUUGCAUCUGAUACUGGUCAGCUAGAGUCUUGUAGAGGGGGGUAGAAUUCCAUGUGUAGCGGUGAAAUGCGUAGAGAUGUGGAGGAAUACCGGUGGCGAAGGCGGCCCCCUGGACAAAGACUGACGCUCAGGUGCGAAAGCGUGGGGAGCAAACAGG
rnacentral:rRNA from 1 species